AUUGAACGCUGGCGGCAGGCUUAACACAUGCAAGUCGAGCGGAGAUGAGGUGCUUGCACCUUAUCUUAGCGGCGGACGGGUGAGUAAUGCUUAGGAAUCUGCCUAUUAGUGGGGGACAACAUUCCGAAAGGAAUGCUAAUACCGCAUACGUCCUACGGGAGAAAGCAGGGGAUCUUCGGACCUUGCGCUAAUAGAUGAGCCUAAGUCGGAUUAGCUAGUUGGUGGGGUAAAGGCCUACCAAGGCGACGAUCUGUAGCGGGUCUGAGAGGAUGAUCCGCCACACUGGGACUGAGACACGGCCCAGACUCCUACGGGAGGCAGCAGUGGGGAAUAUUGGUCAAUGGGGGGAACCCUGAUCCAGCCAUACCGCGUGUGUGAAGAAGGCCUUAUGGUUGUAAAGCACUUUAAGCGAGGAGGAGGCUACUGAGACUAAUACUCUUGGAUAGUGGACGUUACUCGCAGAAUAAGCACCGGCUAACUCUGUGCCAGCCGCCGCAGUAA
rnacentral:rRNA from 1 species